rnacentral:lncRNA from 1 species
AAUGUGUACUAUAUAAAAUUAACUGAGAGUUAAAAUUUUUAUAUCUGGAUGAGAACAUUUAUUAUAAAUCAACUAUAUUAGCGAGUAUACAGAGAGAGUAGGGUGUUCAAGCAUCGUAGCUAGCUAGCUGGCUAGUAUUUUUCUUUUCUUAUCUUUAAACUACUCUUUUUUUUCUUUUUCUUUUUCUUUGUUUUUUACUUUAUACCAUAAAAUAUAGGAUAAUUUGUGCUAUGAUUUAUUUUAGGAUAAAAAAUAUAUAAAUUCAAAAUUUUGCAUAAUUACUAAUUUGAGUGUCAGUAAUUAGUUUAUAAAUAACAUAUUCUAAUGAAAUACUGUAUUGGGCUAAAUUGCACUGUUACCUCCUAAGUUUUUUGUGGAGUUUCAUUUUAUCCUCCAAACUCAUAAAAUGAAGAUUUAAUAUUCUAAACUUUAAUAUUUCAUUCAUAUUAUUUUUUUCAUCAAUUUUUGAUUAACGAAACUUGAAGGUAAAUUGACGAAAAGAAUAACAUAAAUAAAACAUUAGAGUUUAAAAUAUUAAAUUUUUUUUAGCAGUUUGAGAGGGUGACAGUGCAAUUUACCCAAAUAAAAAAUAAAAGGUUAAACUUCAAAUACCCCUAUGUGGUUUCACACUUUCUCACUUUAGUAUUUUGUGAUUUAAAGUGUAUCAAAUUAGCUCCCGUGGUUUCGCACUUUCUCACUUUAGUACCCUGUGGUUUAAAGUGUAUUAAGUUAGUACCCGUUUCAUUUUUCUCUUUUUAUUAUUCAUUUCACUAAUUUUUUUUUUGUUAAAUCAGUGACAAAGUUAAAUUUAAAGGGUACUAAAGUGAAUAUUCGAUAAACCUAGGUAGGGUAUAUGAAGUUUUUUGUAAUUUAACAAAAUAUUAAUGCAGGAAAAAAAAAUUAGUGAUGAAGUUAAAACUAAAGGGUACUAAAGUAAAUAUUCGAUAAAUCUAGAUAAGAUAUAUGAAGUUUUUUGUAUGUAAUUUAACGAAAUAUUAACAGAGGAGCCGACGAAAAAAAAAAAAGAAGAAGAAACCAUAGAGUACAAAAUUGAUGCAUUUUAAACUAUAGAAUAUUAAAAUAAAAAAGUACGAAAAUACUAGAUACUAAAUUAAUGUAUUUUUAAUCGUGGGGUACUACAAUGAAAAAGGUACGAAACUAAGGGUUGGUUUUUGA